GAUGAACGCUGGCGGCGUGCCUAAUACAUGCAAGUCGAACGCAUUGAGAGAAGUGCUUGCACUUUUCAAUUUGAGUGGCGAACGGGUGAGUAACACGUGGGCAACCUACCUGAUAGCGGGGGAUAACGAGUGGAAACAUUCGCUAAUACCGCAUAACAAUAGAGAAGGCAUCUUCUUUAUUUAAAAGGCGCUUUCAAGCGUCACUAUCAGAUGGGCCCGCGGUGGAUUAGUUAGUUGGUUGGGUGAAGGCCUACCAAGACGAUGAUGCAUAGCCGAGUUGAGAGACUGAUCGGCCACAUUGGGACUGAGACACGGCCCAAACUCCUACGGGAGGCUGCAGUAGGGAAUCUUCCACAAUGGACGAAAGUCUGAUGGAGCAACGCCGCGUGUGUGAUGAAGGCUUUCGGGUCGUAAAGCACUGUUGUAUGGGAAGAAAUGCUAGGCUAGGAAAUGAGCUUAGUUUGACGGUACCAUACCAGAAAGGGACGGCUAAAUACGUGCCAGCAGCCGCCGUAA
rnacentral:rRNA from 1 species